UACGGAGGGUGCAAGCGUUAUCCGGAUUCACUGGGUUUAAAGGGUGCGUAGGCGGGUUGGUAAGUCAGUGGUGAAAGCCCCGAGCUUAACUUGGGAACUGCCAUUGAUACUGCCAGUCUUGAAUACGGUUGAGGUAGGCGGAAUAUAGCAUGUAGCGGUGAAAUGCUUAGAUAUGCUAUAGAACACCGAUUGCGAAGGCAGCUUACUAAGCCGUUAUUGACGCUGAGGCACGAAAGCGUGGGGAGCAAACAGG
rnacentral:rRNA from 1 species